rnacentral:rRNA from 1 species
CCUACGGGAGGCAGCAGUGGGGAAUAUUGGGCAAUGGAGGAAACUCUGACCCAGCGACGCCGCGUGAGGGAUGAAGGCCUUCGGGUUGUAAACCUCUUUCAGUAGGGAAGAAGCGAAAGUGACGGUACCUACAGAAGAAGCACCGGCUAACUAUGUGCCAGCAGCCGCGGUAAUACAUAGGGUGCAAGCGUUGUCCGGAAUUAUUGGGCGUAAAGAGCUCGUAGGUGGUUCGAUACGUCGGAUGUGAAAAUCAGGGGCUCAACCCCUGACCUGCAUCCGAUACGGUCGAGCUAGAGUUUGGUAGGGGAGACUGGAAUUCCUGGUGUAGCGGUGGAAUGCGCAGAUAUCAGGAGGAACACCGAUGGCGAAGGCAGGUCUCUGGGCCAAUACUGACACUGAGGAGCGAAAGCGUGGGGAGCGAACAGGAUUAGAUACCCUGGUAGUCCACGCCGUAAACGGUGGGCGCUAGUUGUGCGAACCUUCCACGGUUUGUGCGACGCNGCUACGCAUAGCGCCCGCCGUCGGGAGGUACGAGCGCGAGAGUAAACUACGUAAAGGUAAGUAGUUACGGCGUGAGACGUGCCGACGGCGACGACGAGGGAGGAGG